GCGAGAGUGGCGGAAUUGGCAGACGCGCUGGAUUUAGGUUCCAGUACCGCAAGGUGUGGGGGUUCGACUCCCCCCUCUCGUA
rnacentral:tRNA from 2 species